rnacentral:rRNA from 1 species
AACAGGAUUAGAUACCCUGGUAGUCCACGCCGUAAACGAUGUCGACUUGGAGGUUGUGCCCUUGAGGCGUGGCUUCCGGAGCUAACGCGUUAAGUCGACCGCCUGGGGAGUACGGCCGCAAGGUUAAAACUCAAAUGAAUUGACGGGGGCCCGCACAAGCGGUGGAGCAUGUGGUUUAAUUCGAUGCAACGCGAAGAACCUUACCUACUCUUGACAUCCAGAGAACUUUCCAGAGAUGGAUUGGUGCCUUCGGGAACUCUGAGACAGGUGCUGCAUGGCUGUCGUCAGCUCGUGUUGUGAAAUGUUGGGUUAAGUCCCGCAACGAGCGCAACCCUUAUCCUUUGUUGCCAGCGGUUAGGCCGGGAACUCAAAGGAGACUGCCAGUGAUAAACUGGAGGAAGGUGGGGAUGACGUCAAGUCAUCAUGGCCCUUACGAGUAGGGCUACACACGUGCUACAAUGGCGCAUACAAAGAGAAGCGACCUCGCGAGAGCAAGCGGACCUCAUAAAGUGCGUCGUAGUCCGGAUUGGAGUCUGCAACUCGACUCCAUGAAGUCGGAAUCGCUAGUAAUCGUAGAUCAGAAUGCUACGGUGAAUACGUUCCCGGGCCUUGUACACACCGCCCGUCACACCAUGGGAGUGGGUUGCAAAAGAAGUAGGUAGCUUAACCUUCGGGAGGGCGCUUACCACUUUGUGAUUCAUGACUGGGGUGAAGUCGUAACAAGGUAGCCGUA